GUGGGGUGAGGGCAGGAGCCUACAAGGUGCGUGCCAUUCUCUUCAGGCAGCCCCAGCCCUGGGAGCAUCCCCUCCUCCCAGCUACAGUCUAUAGUCAGCGACCCCCACCCGUCUCCCCCUUGCCACCCCCAUCUGCUGGGGAUGUAGGUCCAUGUCCUUGACCCAAGACCUUCCCUCAUUCCUGCCCCCAUCCCUCCUCAAGCCAUAUCCCUUACAUCCCUUGAGUCCUCCAUCCCCCCUCCCCCAUCUCCCUGUUCACAGCCUCUGCCCCUCCUCUCCCUACCCUGUACCACCCCCACCCCAGGUCUUCCUCCAUCUCCUUGGGAACACAGAGCUCCUCUAGCAGGCACUCUCAGAACACAGCCUGCCGGCCCCAGCACCCGGCCUUGCUCCCAGCCUCUUCCCUCUGUAUUCAGCUCAGGCGCUCAGGACUGCCAGGACCCAGAGGAUUCACACGCCAGCCCCGGCUGAAGCCCAGCUCCUCAUCAACCGGUGAGCCGCCUGCCAGCUCCUGCUCCAGCUGCUGAGAGGCCUGAAGAGACCAAGACAGAGACACAGCCCCGCAGCACCACAGGGAGGCCCCAGUUACCCCAUGCGGAUGAGUUUCAUGGCCAUCUCUAACUAAGGACAGGACAUCGAUGUCAUCUGUAACUUCCGGUGCACUGGGGCACACAGCUGCAUCUCCCCAUGCUCACCUCCUGCCUCUUGCUCUGCCCAGUGUGAGGACUCAGCCUGGAUCACCUCCUCCAGGACAAGAACAACCUACCAUCAUCUGUCCGUCCAAUCUACCCACCCAUCCAUCUCUGCCUCUGGCCAUGCAUCCGUCCGUCCAUCCAUCCCCGCCUCUGUGCAUGCAUCUGUCCAUCCAUCCCCGCCUCUGUGCAUGCAUCUGUGCAUCCAUCCAUCCCUGCCUCUGUGCAUGCAUCUGUCCAUCCAUCCCCGCCUCUGUGCAUGCAUCUGUCCAUCCAUCCCCACCUCUGUGCAUGCAUCUGUCCGUACAUCCAUCCCUGCCUCUGUGCAUGCAUCUGUCCAUUCAUCCCUGCCUCUGUGCAUGCAUCUGUCCAUCCAUCCAUCCCCGCCUCUGUGCAUGCAUCUGUCCAUCCAUCCCUGCCUCUGUGCAUGCAUCUGUCCAUUCAUCCCUGCCUCUGUGCAUGCAUCUGUCCAUCCAUCCAUCCCUGCCUCUGUGCAUGCAUCUGUCCAUUCAUCCCUGCCUCUGUGCAUGCAUCUGUCCAUCCAUCCAUCCCUGCCUCUGUGCAUGCAUCUGUCCAUUCAUCCCUGCCUCUGUGUAUGCAUCUGUCCAUCCAUCCAUCCCCACCUCUGUGCAUGCAUCUGUCCAUCCAUCCCCGCCUCUGUGCAUGCAUCUGUCCGUCCAUCCAUCCCUGCCUCUGUGCAUGCAUCUGUCCGUCCAUUCAUCCCUGCCUCUGUGCAUGCAUCUGUCCAUUCAUCCAUCCCUGACUCUGUGCAUGCAUCUGUCCAUCCAUCCAUCCUUGCCUCUAUGCAUGCAUUUGUCCGUCCAUCCAUCCCUGCCUCUGUGCAUGCAUCCAUACCUGCCUCUGUGCAUGCAUCUGUCAGUCUAUCAAUCCCCGAUCCCUUCUUUGUAAUGGUGUUGAGCGCUCACAACUCCCUCAUCCUAAGACGCUCGUUGGAUCCAUUCCCUCCCCUCACCCCAUGCUGCUCUCUGCCCUCCCUUCCCGGUCAAGUUCUCCAGCCAGUGGUCUCAACUCAAUCUUCACUUCCCCCGCUCCUCUCACACCUAUCCCCACUGCAUUCUAAAUUCUUCCCCAACGCGCUGGGCCUACAGGCACUAAAAAGGUCACUUUGUCCCUGGAUGACCAAACACAGGCCAAUGUAACUUACUGGGCUUGUUUUGCCCCAGCCACAGCUGACCACUUCCUCCUUCACUCUUGUUGUUGAUCACCUUUGGGCUUAGUCUUUCUCCAUCUCUGUUGAGUCCUUCUCCCCUGCCACCUACUCCUUCAUGCUGGGGUUCUCUGUAGCUCUGUACCUGACAGUCACGUUCCACCCUUUCCUCCCAGAAGCUCGCCAACCCCCGUGGACUGCUGGCUCUCAAGGCGGCCGCUAGCCCAGCUCCGACAGCAGCUGACAAUGCACAGUAUGCGGCCCAGGGCAGGCCCUGUGCUGAGAGGCAUGGGUGAAUGGCUCAUUUCAUCGGCAAGCCCACGCCACCAGCAGGCGCCGUUCUCCUCGCAUUUCUCAGGCGAGGAACCUGAGACAAUGAGGUUAAGGAAGUUGUUCAUUACAAGUGGAAGAACCCUGACUUACUUGAAUUCAGCUUUGAAGCCCACAUUCUCUUUUUCUGUGUGUGUGACAGGGUCUCACUUUGUCACCCAGGCCGCAGUGCAGUGGUGUGAACACAGCUCAUUGCAGUCUCAACCUCCCUGACUCAAGCAAUCCUCCUGCCUUAGCCUCCUGAGUAGCUGGGACUACAAGCAUGUGCCACCACGCCCAGCCGAAGCCCAUAUGUGAAUGUUGAGGCACACAGCCUCCCCAGCCUCUGCCUUACCAAGCCCUCCACAGGGCCUAGGCACCCUCCCUGGCUGCCCCCUUCCCCCGUCACUCAGGCUCCCCAGCAGCCAAUGUAGUUAAUAUGGGGCUGCAAAGAGCUGGGCCUGGCCUCAGGCGGGACCGCCUCCCCGGCAUUGCCAUCCCUGCUGCAGAGCUCCCAUGCGAUCAGCCUCCUCUCCAGCUGAGACCACAUCCUCACUCAGCUUCUAGGCUGUUCCUGCUCCCCAUUCCCCUCAGCACAUGGCCCCUGAGAAACUGCUUGCACAAGAAUUUCCCUCUGGAGCCCCACCUCUGGGGAACCUGACCUCAGACAGAGGAGACCAAGCUCUAGGGCAGGAUCCUCCACCUCCCUUGCCCCACCGGUGUGGCCAGCCCAGAGCGCUGCAGACUCCCGCCCAGACCUGCACUUGUGCCUGCCUUCUGCCAGCCUGCUCCUCCUCCUCCCACUCUCACACCUGCAUUAACAGCACCAGGACGCCAUCCUCCAAGGGCCCCAGCCUCAUCUCCCCUGUCACCAGGAUCCAGCCAGAUCUCAAUCCUUGCCCAUCCUAACUGAACCUCCCUCAGAUCCGUCCACUGCCCCCUUCCCCAGGACCACACUCCACCAUCUCUUGCCUGGACCCUGCGAGAACUUCCUGCCUCCCUGCCUCUAUCCUACCCCCUGCCCCCCGCUGAAGCUGAUGAUAGUUCCGGAAUGCAAAACCCCUUAAUGAUUCCCCCAUUGAUCAAAGUCUUCCACAUGCUUUCAAGGUCCUUGGUGAUCCAGGACCUGCCGCCUUCUGCAGUCUCCCUACUGAUGCCAUAGUUUUGGCUUCUGGCCUCAUAUGUCCCGGGUCAUUUCUCUGGUCACUGGCUCCUCUUACCCCUGACUCAGCUGGCUCACUGCUUUCCCAUUGGAUCUCAACCCUGUGUACCUGGGGAGAGCGGAACUCUGUAUGUCUUGUCUUGUGCUAGUAGUCACUCAGUGUGUAUGUGUG
rnacentral:lncRNA from 1 species